GUGGGGAAUCUUGCGCAAUGGGCGAAAGCCUGACGCAGCAACGCCGCGUGUGUGAUGAAGGUCUUCGGAUCGUAAAGCACUGUCGCGAGGGACGAAUAAGGGGCGGGCUAACAUCCCGUUCCGAUGACGGUACCUCGAGAGGAAGCACCGGCUAACUCUGUGCCAGCAGCCGCGGUAAUACAGAGGGUGCAAGCGUUGUUCGGAAUUAUUGGGCGUAAAGCGCGUGUAGGCGGCCUUGCAAGUUGGGUGUGAAAGCCCUCGGCUUAACCGAGGAAGUGCGCCCAAAACUACGAGGCUUGAGUGCCGGAGAGGGUGGCGGAAUUCCCGGUGUAGAGGUGAAAUUCGUAGAUAUCGGGAGGAACACCAGCGGCGAAGGCGGCCACCUGGACGGUAACUGACGCUGAGACGCGAAAGCGUGGGGAGCAAACAGGAUUAGAAACCCCAGUAGUCC
rnacentral:rRNA from 1 species